CCUACGGGUGGCAGCAGUGAGGAAUAUUGGUCAAUGGACGAGAGUCUGAACCAGCCAAGUAGCGUGAAGGAUGACUGCCCUAUGGGUUUUAAACUUCUUUUAUAUGGGAAUAAAAUGUUCCACGUGUGGGGUUUUGUAUGUACCAUAUGAAUAAGGAUCGGCUAAUUCCGUGCCAGCAGCCGCGGUAAUACGGAGGAUCCGAGCGUUAUCCGGAUUUAUUGGGUUUAAAGGGAGCGUAGGUGGAUGGUUAAGUCAGUUGUGAAAGUUUGCGGCUCAACCGUAAAAUUGCAGUUGAAACUGGCAGACUUGAGUACAGUAGAGGUGGGCGGAAUUCGUGGUGUAGCGGUGAAAUGCUUAGAUAUCACGAAGAACUCCGAUUGCGAAGGCAGCUCACUGGACUGCAACUGACACUGAGGCUCGAAAGUGUGGGUAUCAAACAGGAUUAGAUACCCUGGUAGUC
rnacentral:rRNA from 1 species